GACGAACGCUGGCGGCGUGCUUAACACAUGCAAGUCGAACGGAAAGGCCCUGCUUUUGUGGGGUGCUCGAGUGGCGAACGGGUGAGUAACACGUGAGUAACCUGCCCUUGACUUUGGGAUAACUUCAGGAAACUGGGGCUAAUACCGGAUAGGAGCUCCUGCUGCAUGGUGGGGGUUGGAAAGUUUCGGCGGUUGGGGAUGGACUCGCGGCUUAUCAGCUUGUUGGUGGGGUAGUGGCUUACCAAGGCUUUGACGGGUAGCCGGCCUGAGAGGGUGACCGGCCACAUUGGGCCUGAGAUACGGCCCAGACUCCUACGGGAGGCAGCAGUGGGGAAUCUUGCACAAUGGGCGGAAGCCUGAUGCAGCAGCGCCGCGUGCGUGAUGACGGCCUUCGGGUUGUAAACCGCUUUCGCCUGUGACGAAGCGUGAGUGACGGUAAUGGGUAAAGAAGCACCGGCUAACUACGUG
rnacentral:rRNA from 1 species